CUGGACAAGCUGAGAGCCUCUUGUGAGAUAUUAUCCCUUCCUUUGGUCGCUUAAAUUGAUUAUUCAUGCAGUAUUUGCUUGAAAGUGGUGUGGAGUAUUAAGUUGAUAUGUGCCAGUGUGAUGAGAAUCACGGUCCUCAUCCCACAUAAACAUAAUUAAUAAAUAUUUUGAAUUGAGCGAUCAAUAAUCUCAAAAUUUGAAGUUAAAUUAAGAGAAAAAAAUGUAAAUAUUAGUUAGAUAUCAUAGAAAGAUUAAAAAUCAUGAUCUGUUUUGAUACCAUCAAAAAUAUUUUGAAUUAGGUAACCAAUAGUCCUAAAAGCUUAAUGUGGAUCAUGUUUUUUUUCUUUUGUUUUGUUUUCAGGUAAGAUGAAUAUUAGUUACCUCCCAACUAGAAUCUCUCUGUCUGCACAUUUGUUUACCACUGUGAGCCCAAGUUGAGGUAGAAGCAUAUUGAAUAGAUAAGGAAUGGUUGGUUAGGUCAGAAAAAGAACAAAGAGAAGGACGUGGGGAUGGAUGCAGUGAUAAUUUGAUGAUGCAUGAAUAUAUUUUUUACACACUGGAAAAACUAUUUUCUUAACUAAAGAUAUAUGAUAUUUCUAAAGCAUUAUUUUUCAUUCCUUUUAAAGAAUGUUUGCAUUCUGUUUUUUGGGUUUCUAUCACUGCUCCUUCUGUGGCAAUUGUUGUUGUUUAUCAAUCUUAAUUUUCUUGAAUUUAAUUGGAUCAGAUGUAAUCCUUCUAAAAGUUCUUACACCAUCAAUUUAUACAAGAUGCAGUUUCUUGAUUCACCCCAUAAAUUAAUCCUCCAAUGAUUCUGUUUGGUGAUAUGUUGCUUUCGUUCUCCCUCAAUAAUACAGUUAGACAUGCUGCCCUGUCAAGAUGUUGAUCAUCAACCACGCAUGCAGAGUUCGGUGAUCUGUUGCUUUCACUCUUCUGCAAUAAAUAGAGUCGCAUGUUUCCAUAGCAUGCGUGAAGGCAAUGGGCGCUACUGAGAUGGUGAGAGUCCACUGCUUCUUGUGCAUGACCCUCCUCAUUCUACUCUCUUCUGCUGCUGCUGCAGGUACUAUGGAUGUGGGUUAUGUCCAGCCAUCUAACUCCACCAUGUUCCACGGCAUCGCUGGUGGCAUCAAGUGGUUGGAAACAGAGAUGGUGACGAGUUCGUGUGGUUCAAAUCAGCACAUAGGCUACUGUGCCGUGGCGAAAUCCGGCCAACCGGCGGUCCGCCCUGCCGCCAGUGGGAGGCCUUACACCAAUGGGUGUCUGAGUUAUAAUCAUUGCAGGAAUCAAUAGCCACCCUUUAAAGUCUCUUCGUUUCCAUAGGAGUAUCAUGAUCCAUAGGAGUAUCAUGAUCGAUGUGUCGUCGCAGAACCUACUUUGCUUGUAUGACUUGAUGAUGGUAUCAUUUGGCUUGCUUAUCUUUUUCCUGUGUUUGUUGUUUCACUUCUCUGCGUGGAAAACAUAAACGUUUCGAUUUAUGAAACUCAAUUGUUCUUUUUCGACUGACUGUAUGUAUCAGAGAACAUUAUUAAUGUCGAUCAUAACCCUGAAUAAAAAAAUGAAAUAUUGCGU
rnacentral:lncRNA from 1 species